rnacentral:rRNA from 1 species
UAAUACGUAGGGUGCGAGCGUUAAUCGGAAUUACUGGGCGUAAAGUGUGCGCAGGCGGCGUUGCAAGUCGAGUGUGAAAGCCCCGGGCUUAACUUGGGAAUUGCGCUCGAAACUACGCUGCUGGAGUAUGGCAGAGGAAGGUGGAAUUCCACGUGUAGCGGUGAAAUGCGUAGAGAUGUGGAGGAACACCGAUGGCGAAGGCAGCCUUCUGGGCCAAUACUGACGCGCAUGCACGAAAGC